GUGAACGCUGGCGGCGUGCUUAACACAUGCAAGUCGAACGAGACCUUCGGGUCUAGUGGCGCACGGGUGCGUAACGCGUGGGAAUCUGCCCUUGGGUUCGGAAUAACAGUUAGAAAUGACUGCUAAUACCGGAUGAUGUCUUCGGACCAAAGAUUUAUCGCCCAGGGAUGAGCCCGCGUAGGAUUAGGUAGUUGGUGGGGUAAAGGCCUACCAAGCCGACGAUCCUUAGCUGGUCUGAGAGGAUGAUCAGCCACACUGGGACUGAGACACGGCCCAGACUCCUACGGGAGGCAGCAGUGGGGAAUAUUGGACAAUGGGCGAAAGCCUGAUCCAGCAAUGCCGCGUGAGUGAUGAAGGCCUUAGGGUUGUAAAGCUCUUUUACCCGGGAUGAUAAUGACAGUACCGGGAGAAUAAGCUCCGGCUAACUCCGU
rnacentral:rRNA from 1 species